UACGUAGGAGACGAGCGUUGUCCGGAAUUACUGGGCGUAAAGCGCGUGUAGGCGGAUGAGCAAGUCUGCUGUGAAAGCUCCUGGCUUAACCGGGAGUGGUCGGUGGAAACUGCUCGUCUGGAGGACGGUAGAGGUAGGUAGAAUUCCCGGUGUAGUGGUGAAAUGCGUAGAGAUCGGGAGGAAUACCUGUGGCGAAGGCGGCCUACUGGGCCGGACCUGACGCUGAGACGCGAAGGCGUGGGGAGCGAACGG
rnacentral:rRNA from 1 species